GACGAACGCUGGCGGCGUGCUUAACACAUGCAAGUCGAACGGAAAGGCCCUGCUUUUGUGGGGUGCUCGAGUGGCGAACGGGUGAGUAACACGUGAGUAACCUGCCCUUGACUUUGGGAUAACUUCAGGAAACUGGGGCUAAUACCGGAUAGGAGCUCCUGCUGCAUGGUGGGGGUUGGAAAGUUUCGGCGGUUGGGGAUUGACUCGCGGCUUAUCAGCUUGUUGGUGGGGUAGUGGCUUACCAAGGCUUUGACGGGUAGCCGGCCUGAGAGGGUGACCGGCCCCAUUGGGCCUGAGGUACGGCCCAGACUCCUACGGGAGGCAGCAGUGGGGAAUCUUGCAGAAUGGGCGGAAGCCUGAUGCAGAAACGCCGCGUGCGGGAUGACGGCCUUCGGGUUGUAAACCGCUUUCGCCUGUGACGAAGCGUGAGUGACGGUAAUGGGUAAAGAAGCACCGGCUAACUACGUG
rnacentral:rRNA from 1 species